AGCCUGCGUCCUAUUAGCUAGUUGGUAGGGUAAUGGCCUACCAAGGCUAUGAUGGGUAGCCGGCCUGAGAGGGUGAUCGGCCACACUGGGACUGAGACACGGCCCAGACUCCUACGGGAGGCAGCAGUGAGGAAUUUUGCGCAAUGGGCGAAAGCCUGAUCCAGCAACGCCGCGUGCACGAUAACGGCCUUCGGGUUGUAAAGUGCUUUUAAGGGAGAUGAGAAAGGACAGUAUCCCUUGAAUAAGCCUCGGCGAACUACGUGCCAGCAGCCGCGGUAAAACGUAGGAGGCAAGCGUUAUCCGGAUUUAUUGGGCGUAAAGCGCGUGCAGGCUGUUUGGAAAGUUGGAUGUGAAAGCUCCUGGCUUAACUGGGAGAGGUCGUUCAAAACUACCAAACUAGAGAAUGGGAGGGGGAAGUGGAAUUCCGGGUGUAGUGGUGAAAUGCGUAGAUAUCCGGAGGAACACCAGUGGCGAAAGCGGCUUCCUAGACCAUUUCUGACGCUUAGACGCGAAAGCUAGGGGAGCGAACGGGAUUUAGAGACCCCGGUAGUCCUAGCUGUAACGAUGUAGACUUGGCGUUGGCGGAG
rnacentral:rRNA from 1 species